rnacentral:tRNA from 1 species
GGGGAUAUAGCUCAGUGGUAGAGCACUUGGCUAGGAGGCCUUGGGUUCAAUCCCCAGUACCA